rnacentral:lncRNA from 1 species
CCCCUCGACUUGCAGGUCCAAGCGAAGCUACCAGACCAGCUCUUCCAAACCGUACGCCAGAUGGGACCUGCACUCCAGCCACUGCGAGCAGCUUUGCUUUCAGCACAAAUGCCAGGACUCGAGAAAAGUGUUCACAACGUCAUGAAAGAGACACCGUGGAUUCAUCCCUGUCACCUCACUGAGACGGACAGAAGGACAGGAAAUUGUCAACUCAGAAAACCCAACUGGCAGUUGGGGGAUGGGGAAGAAAUGAGGAAACUGAGGCUCAGGAAGCUUAAGACCAAGACCCUGACCCAGGUCUCUGUUACUUCGAGUCCUGGGCUCUUAUCCGCUCAGGGACGUGAGAAUCAUCUGUGGACAUGUGUGUCCUCUGCAUGGAAACGUGAGAUUCCCGAGGGAGAGACUGUGUCUCAUUUGCCCUUAUGUUCUAGGGUCAAGCACAGGGCCUGGUGCUCAAGCACAAGGCGGGGAGGGAGAGGAGGGGCAAGGAGGGCGAGGGUCUGGGGGGGUCGUCAGGGAGGGCUGGGCUCUGGCGUCUCUGAGCAUGCAUUUUUUCGUUCAUCCGCCAAAUGCUUCUUGAGCACCUGCUCUGUGCUGGACGCAGCUCUAGAUGCACCGACCAAGCCAAGUCCCUGCCUGCUGAGCACACCUUCUGGCAGUGAAGACAAAAAAGAAAACCACGAGGGGCGAGAUACAGUGUCCACCACAAGUGCCAGGAAGAACGCACGUGGCCGUUGCGGGAUGCGGGGUGCGCCUUCCCUCUGGAUGGGCGUCAGGACAGGAGGCUGCUGUGCGGAGCGGAGGCUGUGGGCUGCCGGCUGGCAGCGGGGUCCCAGUUAG